CAGACCGCAUCCAUGAUGGGUGUGGAUAAGGGCAAAGAUGAACUGGAACCCACAUCUUUCUCCCAGCACCUAAAACCUGGAUUGUGAGGGUGAUAUGCAAGAGAAGCCAGCACCCUUGGCCCUGGAGUUGUAGGCACACUUGGCCCAGGAAUUGGAAAAUCUGAAACAGGAGAUUUAGUGAAAGCUGGAGUCACGGGAAUGCUAGGUGCUUCUCCACACCAAUAAGGAGACACAUUUCUUUCCUUUCAAAUGAGACCCUGUGAUUCAAACAGCCAAUACUUCCAGAUUGUGAGAAACUUGAAGGGGGUAUAGACGUUUCCCUCCUGAAACUGCACCUAGAGAGCUGCCAUGAUGUGUGACACCAGACCUUCUGAACGGUAGUCAAAUAUUUUGCAUGGCUGAGAAGGAAAAAAGUGGUCCAGAGCAGGCUAGAGAGCCAAUUGCAGAAAAGGGUAUCAAGGCAGCUCAGUGACUUCCUCAUGGCUCAGACUGGUAAUGACAGCUGGGACAUGCAGAGCAGAGUGAUGGUGAAGAGCUUCGCUUCUGGAACCACAGAAUCCCUUGGCUUCCCAGAUGGCAAGGAUCUGAAUCGUAACUUCACUACUCAUGAGCUAGGCAACACUGUGAACAUCACCUGGCUCCCCCAGCCCUCCAGCUCUUCAUCUUAU